AUCUCCAGAAGCACUGCGUUAAAAUCUCAAUCUUAUGUGAGGUCCUGCUGUGAGGUCAGUCAGAUUUGUUUGGAUACAGCAGGCCUUUUGUCCUGGAGGCUUCAAGCUCUCAGUUUUUGUUUUAGUCUCUAAACCAAUUUAUAACUGAACCUGUUGAACUGGGUUGUUUCAUGCUUCCAUUUAUUCAUGGGUGCUGGCUUGCUGAAUCAUUUUGUAAUACCGUCUGGCAGCAGGAAAAAGCCCAUUUGAAAUGGUCAUCUUUGUUCCUAGGGAACAGAACCAAUGAUUUGAAGAAAAAGGUGAAAAAUAUGUAGCUCGGUUCUGGGGAUAGCCUCUCUCUGCUGAUAUCCGCGCGUCGGAGAGGGAGACAGAGCCAUUAAGCCUUGCCUAUUGUUGUCAGGACCGCAGUCCACUCUGCUGACAGACUGUACCAGCACAGAUCGUUAAUGCUGAUGUCCACCCUCACAAUGACGAUGCAAGCAGGUUCACAAAAAACGACAAGUGUGGCAGAGAAUGGUGGAUUGUGAACUGCCUCCGUGUGAACUGUACUCAUUUCGAAAGACUUUCCUUCAGCUAACAUGGCCCCAAACAAUGGCAGCACUCACUUUUUAAAAUCAAAUUUACCACAGAGGGUGACUUAUUGAAUUUGAUUUUAUCAGAAUAAAAAGCUUAGUGUCUGUUAUGAGUUUUACUUGCACAAGAACAGAAACUGCCAGCAAAUAAUUUUGAGGCUAGCUUGUUGUAACAAAGAAGGAUUUACUGUGAGGACCACUUGCGUUCCAUACAGUAUGACUUUCUGAAAGUUGUUUUUUUCCUAAAGUCAUUUGCUUACACUACUCUCUGCCAAGCAGUUCCUUUUCUGUGAAUGCUAAAUAGUGCUUGUCAAUGCAAAGCAUUUCUGUGAGAAGCAACAUCAUAUAAACCCCAUUUUCAAUGUAGGGUAUUUAAUUUUUAAGGAAAAAGAUGUUCACUGUGAAUUGCAUUGUAAUUCAAAAGGAAACAUAAAAUUAAAAUUUUU